AGUAGAGUCAGCUAACAAUAAGCUU
rnacentral:tRNA from 1 species